rnacentral:rRNA from 2 species
CCCCUACGGGAGGCAGCAGGSGGGAAUAUUSSKSAAUGGGCGCAAGCCUGACCCAGCAMUGCCGCGUGUGUGAAGAASGCCUGCKSSWUGUAAAGCACUUUUAGUGGGGAAGAAAAGYUGGUGGCUAAUAUCCAUCGACCCUGACGUCACCCACAGAAAAAGCACCGGCUAACUCCGUGCCAGCAGCCGCGGUAAUACGGAGGGUGCAAGCGUUAAUCGGAAUUACUGGGCGUAAAGCGCGCGUAGGCGGCUGAGUCAGUCUGAUGUGAAAGCCCCGGGCUUAACCUGGGAACUGCAUUGGAUACUGCUCGGCUAGAGUGUGGUAGAGGGUAGUGGAAUUCCCGGUGUAGCAGUGAAAUGCGUAGAUAUCGGGAGGAACAUCAGUGCCGAAGGCAGCUGCCUGGACCACUCACUGACGCUGAG